UUCUCUCCUCCAUCAAGCUUUUCUCCUCUUGCUUUAACCAACCGCCAUGCUCUUUCAUUUUUGCAGUCAUCCAUUUCAUAUCCGGUGAAGAUUUGGCCAUCCAGGCAUUCUUCUUUUUGGAAUCUUGAAUUCACACUUCAUGAGCUUUCUCUAGGUUCCAUGAUCAAGCUUUUCUCCUACUUUAAGCAAUCAUUGUGCUCAUUUGAUUUUUCACUUCAUCCAUUUCAUCUCAAGAUAUGGAAAGUCAAUCAAGUACACCAAUUAAUCUUGGUGAUGAAAAUGUUGAGCCUGAAUCAAAGCGUGGUAGAUCGGAUGUGUGGGAGCAUUUUGACAAAUUACCACCAAUUGAUGCAAAUUCACAAAGAGCUCAAUGCAAAUAUUGUAAGAAGGCAUAUUCUUGCAAAAGCACAGGAGGAACAUCGCAUUUGAGGAGGCACUUGACUAAAUGUCCGAAACGUGUUUGUCGUGACAUUAGACAAUACACAAUUUCUCAUCAAACAACAACCAGCGGUACGUCAUUCUCAAAUUAUAAAAUUGAUGUUGAGAUCAUUCGUAGAGAAAUUGCUAUGAUGAUUGCUAUUGAUGAACAACCUUUCAUAAUGGUUGAGAAUAUUGGA